rnacentral:lncRNA from 1 species
ACCUGACUACAGUUCUUGGAGGACAUCCUGGGAAAACAGGGGUGAAUGUGGCUUGUUGUGAGGGAAGGACAUUGAGGGCAAGGCUCUCGGGAAUAUUCAGCAGUUGCCUUUCUCUGGAAGUGGCCAUUUUGGGAAAAUCUGGCCCCACUCGUCAGCCAGCACUAAAAUGCCCCAGGGCAAACAACAAUCCAGGUGGGAUCACAGCCCUGCCCCUCAGUAAACAGGCUACCUAAAGACCCCUCAGGCACACAGCUGCGUCUAAUCCCAUCCAGACACCAAGCCCCACCCACCAGAGGGAUUAGAAUCAGCUCCACCUACCAUUGGGCAGGCAUCAGCCCCUCCCAUCAGGAAGCCUACAGCAAGCCCCCCAUACCGACUUCAGCGACAGGGGGGCAGACAUCAGAAGUAAGAGAGGCUACAACUCUAUUAUCUGCAAAAAGGUCACCACACCAAACACCUAUAAAAAUGAAAAGACAGAGAACUAUAACUCAGAUGAGAGAGAAAGGAAAAACCCCAGAAAAUCAGCUAAGUGAUGAGGAGAUAGAUUCUCAGCCUCCAGGAAAAAGCCUUGAGACUGUUGAAACUGAAGAUGAUUCAAGACAUUGGAAAGAAAUUGGAGGUAAAGAUGGCUAAGGAGUUCCCGUCGUGGCUCAGUGGGAAACAAAUCUGACUAGGAACCAUAAGGUUGCAGGUUCGAUCCCUGGCCUUGCUCAUGGGUUAAGGAUCUGGCAUUGCUGUGAGCUGUGGUAUAGGUCGCAGACAUGGCUCGGAUCCCGCGUUGCUCUGGCUGUGGUGUAGGCUGGCAGCUACAGCUCUGAUUAGACCACUAGCCUGGGAACCUCCAUAUGCCAAGGGAGUGGCCCAAGAAAUG